GACGAACGCUGGCGGCGUGCUUAACACAUGCAAGUCGAGCGAGUGGAUUCCCUUCGGGGAUGAAGCUAGCGGCGGACGGGUGAGUAACACGUGGGCAACCUGCCUUAUAGAGGGGGAUAGCCUUCCGAAAGGAAGAUUAAUACCGCAUAACAUCAGAUUAUCGCAUGGUAGACUGAUCAAAGGAGCAAUCCGCUAUAGGAUGGGCCCGCGUCGCAUUAGCUAGUUGGUGAGGUAACGGCUCACCAAGGCGACGAUGCGUAGCCGACCUGAGAGGGUGAUCGGCCACAUUGGGACUGAGACACGGCCCAGACUCCUACGGGAGGCAGCAGUGGGGAAUAUUGCACAAUGGGGGAAACCCUGAUGCAGCAACGCCGCGUGAGUGAUGAAGGCCUUCGGGUUGUAAAGCUCUUUGAUCAGGGACGAUAAUGACGGUACCUGAAGAACAAGCCACGGCUAACUACGUGCCAGCCGCCGCAGUAAAAC
rnacentral:rRNA from 1 species